rnacentral:tRNA from 1 species
GGGCGGGUGGCGGAACUGGCAGACGCGUACGGUUCAGGGCCGUAUGGAUGCAAAUCCUUGAGGGUUCGACUCCCUUCCCGCCCA